GUCAACUACCCCUCCCUGACGGAAGGGGCUUGUCUCGUGAGGAACAGCGCAAGAGUUGAUUAGGGGGCUUUAAAAACAUGGAGAAACAUAUGAAAGAGAAGCAGAAGUUAGAUAGGAGAGAUACAUACACACCUACGGAUGCUCCACAAGUCCGUGGCAACUGUG
rnacentral:sRNA from 14 species